rnacentral:lncRNA from 1 species
UGACUUCUGGUUUUAACACCAUCGCCCAGCUGGCCAAUGAUGUUCUUGAUCGGAUGAACGCGUUGAAUUCUUGAGGGUAUCUCCUAGCUGAUAUCAUUAAGCGAGAUGGGAAGAUUGUGAAUAUUGACACCUCAUUUGCUGAUUGUUUAACACCGGAUGAAUCUGAUGGGUUUUGUACAAACGAUCCUAUGUGUGCAUGCAACCCUAGAACUGGAUCUAUGUUUUCACUAUUAGAUACACAACAUUAUGAACACAUGAAGAACACUAAAAGGCUUCUAGGAAUUUCGAAAUCCACAAGGAAAGAUGAAAUACAUACCUCUUGUUGUUAUAUUGUAAUAACAACUUAAAUCUUGAAUCUUCUUGUCUUUGAAAGCAAGUACCACAAGUGUAGUACCUCUAAUGGCUCACAAACACUAAGAGCAAAUGGAGAGGUAAUAAAGAGAGGGAAUAGGUGUGAAAUUCGUCCCUAGGAACCCUAGACAAGGCAUGGACGAAUUACAUUAUCCAAGGGGUAUUUAUAUAAGUGUAGGGAUUAGGGUUUCAGUCCUUAUCCUUAUCUUGUUGCUUGUCCACCAAGCAACCCAUAAGAUAAGCCUUGAAUCCUUAUCAUGGACGAAUUCUAAGGCCUUAUAACCUUAAAUUCGUUCAACCUAUCCAUGGGGUAACCAAUGCCCUAAUUUGCAACUAUCACAUAAUUACAAUUCAGCCCCUCUAGUUUAAUUAAUUACACUUGAUCACAAAAUUAAUUCUUAAUUAAUUAUUGACCGAUAUUAAUUAAACAAAUAUGAUUUCUCCUUUAAUAUAUUAUUCUUAUAACAUAUUAAUAAAUCAUAAUAACCUCUUUCUCUAUGCACAAUCGGGUCAAGUACUUGACAAAUAUGGUUACAAGCUUAGACAUUAAUCCAACAGUCUCCCACUUGGAUAAGUCUAGUAACCACAAAUGCAACUACAACUCAAUUAGCAAUCGUAGCUCUCAAAGAUGUUGUCGAACGCUGAUCUUAUCAGUUCCUUGUCCUUUAGAUAAGGGAUCAUAUAUUCCUCCAUUCUAGAUAUCGUAUAGACGUGAGACAUGGAUUGAAAUCAUUCUCUCAGUCUAUGUGUUGUUUCCCGAUUUCCGAUUUACGACGACUGACUAAUUGAACAAAUCAAAUUAGCCCUAGCCCGGCCGAGCAUUUACGUUUGUCAUCACUAAAUCAUCGAGGGGCCCAUAGAUAUCGCUUUUAUCCCACUUUGGGUAAAAGGAACGGAUAAACUUCGACUCAAUGCUUGCUUGCACUCACUCACCAAAUCACACACAACAAUAAGUUUUAUAACACCAAGUUACUGGUGUGUUUACAUAUUAUCAAUGUGUAACCGAUUCGCAAGAUAGAACUCACACAUCUCGGUUUCAAAAAUACAAGAUAUUAUCCUCUCACCAAUCACUCGUGAUAAAAUCCAUGAAGUGAUCCAAGUGAGCGUGGGUUUAAUCUAAUGCUCAAAAUAAUAUUCAUAAGCACUCAUGAACGUUGCAGCAAACCUUUUCUAUGUCUAAUACACUUUAGACAAUCUACAAACAGACUCAUGACAGUCUUCAUUCAUACCUACUUCCAACAUAUGAACGACUGCAGACCGUUUGAAUAAUUCGAUUAUUCUUAAUAAACUCAAUUAUUCUGGAAGUCAAAACAUGCAAAGAGAAACACAAUGAUAAUACUUAAUCUUAUAUGACCCCAAACUUGUGAGUAUAAAUAAAACACCUUUAUUUAAUCACCAUAUUGAUUACUCAUUAUCCAUUGUUUAAUGUUUCAGAUAAUCAACUUUAUAACUCGAAUCAUAACCACAAUUGUCCCAUGCUCCAAGCAUGCACACUUUGGUUUCCUAUGGUCCAUACUUUGUGAAAUAGAUCAAUUGAAAAACUUUUCAAAUGAAACUCAUUUCACAAUCCCCAAUCCUUAUAAUUAGUGUAAGAAUACCAAAUUCUUGCCACCUUUUAGAAUAUGUCAAAUUCUAAUAUUUUAUGCAAUGAUCCUCUUGUGAAGUCACGGCACAAAAAUCACAAAGACUCGGCCAACGAAAUUACAAGGAACUCUAUCAAAAAUUGUUACAGAACAAUUCUAUAGAUGUGAUGUCUCUCACUCAAAGUACAUUCCUUUGAACAUCCUUUUGCAUAAAAUUUUCUAAUCUAGACAUAAAUUCUUAAUUUCCAACUCCCAAUUAUGGAAACAUUUCCAUAUUUACCAUAUGACAACUCAUUCUUAAUAGAAUCUUAUCUAUUCAUAAUAAUGUCGAUAUGGUCCAUUCAAUACCAUACUUCCAACUACUCACAAGCGACCAAUCCUCAGCGAACUUUGGAUCGUCCUUUGAUAGUUGUUUAAUUAUCUUAGUCAAAACCGAUUCUUGUCCUUUUUCCCUCUUAAUGCGCUAGACAUUUGGAAAAAUUUUAGAAUGGUCAAAUAUUAUAGCACUUGCAAUCGAUCCUUUACCCGAAGCGUAUGGGACACGAUGCAUAAUGUCUUACAUAAAGAUACGAUACUCUAUCAAUCUUCUGCCAUAAUAUUUUAUGUGUCACGUUCUUACAAUUCGAACUAUGAAGAGGGAUACCGUAAUCAUAAUCGAAAUUUAAGAACACACUAUGUAUCCUUUGACUAAAUUUAUUAAAAUUUCUCAAUCUAAGCUUUAGAUUUUGAACGAAGUACAAUAUUCUCUCCCUUAAUUAUAGAAAAACAACUUUUCAACUCUUACAACUUUGCAAAGUAUAACUCUUGUUUUCUAUAAUUAAUAUUGCUAACUUGCAAUACUUACCAUAAUAAUCAUGCUCCCACUUACAUGAUGAUUAUUUCUUUAUCAUCAUAACACUUAUGCUCCCACUAGCUUCGACAUGUAUUCAGAAAUCAGCUGAACUUCUAGAAAACAAUUUCUUUAGAUCAUAUUUCUAAUACUAGAUGCUUUGAUAAGACUUUAUCUAAGCUUCUCAUACUUAUACACUUUUCCUUGGACAGCUCAUAUGUAUAUGUUUAAACGAUUCUAGGACUCAUAUCAACAAGUCUAAAAUGUUCAGACCCAUUUGCCAUUUCCCACAAUUCGAACUAUGAAGAGGUAUGCCGUAAUCAUAGUUGAAUUUGAGAAACCCAAAUCACAUAAUGCUAUCUUCAAAAUCUCUCUUAGUGAAAGCGUUUCCUCACAACCAUUUUCAUGAAUGAGAGAAACCUUAUGACACUUAGAUUUUGUGGUGUAUACAUUCCCAUCGAUGUGAAUUCGUCAUAACCAUAAGUACAAGAUAAUGUUAGUGACAAAUCCAAACUCUUAUGGAUAGAACUUCUUCUUCUUAAUUUCUUGCCAUCAAGGGUCCCACCAUUACUUCCAAUUUAUUGAGCAUCUCACCCCUUCAUUUCAAUGUACUUUCCAUUGAACAAGGUGUCUUGCCCCUAUACAAUCCAUUGAGAACUCGUAGAACUCACAUAUACAGAAAACUCAAUUGGAAUGGCACAGAAAACAAAAUAGUGUCAACACGAUAGGUUGUAAACCUCAAGUCGUGUGCUAGUGAUGAUUGAUAAGGUUUAUUCUUGAUUUGUUCUUGAAACCUUUCAAGACCAUUAAGACUCCCACUGACUCCUUGACAUAUAAGAUUCUCUUGUCAAUAAACAUUUCUCGACAAACAAAUAUUCAAGAGUUAGUGUAGCUUUUAUCAAGACAAAACACUUCACAAAAUUGGUCCUAGUUGGUCUUUGUCUUAUCCAAGACAUCACAACUUUCCACAUUUGAUGAAUGUUAUAAACCUUCUUAAGACUUGUCACUCAAUGUUACAAUCUUAACUCUAAGACUUGUUUUGGAACGAAGUAUGAUUGGCUUCUUGAUUUAACUAUUUCUUCAAUUCUUGAUUCCUCUUCUUAGACAUACAAUUGCACUAAGACUCACUUAGAGGAUUAAUUGAGAUAUGGUUCUUCAUCAUUAAGACCUAUCAUAAAACAUAAUAAAAGGUACUCUCCCUUCUUCUUAGAAUAGAGUAACUUUUAUCUUUCUGCCUACUUGAUUCUUCUUAUUCGUUCUACUAUUGAUUGAGACUUUUUCAAUCAAUUCAGAAUUACACUUAAUCUCAUAAGUAAAAUCAUAUUUACUUAACCUUAGUAAAUCAUGACGAAUAUCUUUGUUACUCUUGUGGUGGAUUUGAUCAACACACAACUUUGUGUACUCGAUCUCCUAGUCCUACACUUGACACUUUGUCAAAGAAUUUGUCUAAAUUUCCAAAUAUGAAAUUUCUCAUUCAUCAUGCAAUCAAGUUGUAUGAUUCUAAGUUUCUAUCCAAUUGAAACUUGGGCGAUGAGAAACUUUCCCUAUUUGGUAAAUUCUUGACCUUUCCACAAAUAAUACAAUUAAGAAUCAAAUCCAUUUUGCUAAUAAUAGAAGUACACAAACAUCAAUUUUUUUCAUAUACGCCAUUGUAAGGAUAAACAAAUAAGAUAAAACCAAAAUUUAUUUUAUUCAUAAAAGUAGCGGAAAACAUGUCCUUACAAUGUAAAAUUCAAAUGAAAAACUAUGUAAUCAAAUACUCCUAACAAAUUUAUCAUAACUUCCUAAGCUCAAAAUCUGAUCUUUGAAUCCAUGCGAUCGUAAUCCAUUUCUUCGUGAUCAGACUCAUCUUGCUCUUCCAUCAAACUUCCUCUCUUUUCUCUAAUCCUGCAAACAUGCAAAUCUAAUCUUAUCACAUUAUGUAUAAAGAAUAGGAAUUUAAUGGAGUUAGAUAUUGGAUUUUAUACUUGAAGUAGAGCCAUACUUCUUGACUCUCCCAUCUCUUAGACUCUUCAGGUCCUUUGGGCAGCUUCGUAUCCAUUGUCCCUUCUCUUGGCAGCAGAAACAGGUGGGUUCUUCUAGAGUGUCCACGGAAGUAUGGUUGGUUGAAUUAUCAGACAAAUAUGCUCCAUUGCUUCGCCAAAUCAUUUCUGAUUCAGCAACAAUAAGCAUGUAAGUUAAGUCAAUGAGGGUCGCGUCAAGAUCCAUCAUAUAAUACUCUCUUAUGAACUUAUCAUAUGAUUUAGGGAGUGACUUAAGAACCCAGUCCACAGCCAACUUAUUGGGGAAAGACGCACCCAACAUAAUCAACCUAUCAAUGUGUGAUUUCAUCCUUAGGACGUGAGCACACACGGGUUUACCAUCUUCACGUUCCAUUGCCAAUAAGGUUUCGAUGAUCUUGAACUUUUCAAAUCGUCGAUCUUGUGGGUCAGGGAGAACAACGGGAGGAGGAGGAGGGAGUGAAAUAGAGCUAGUCCACAUUGAUCCUUCACUUUGGAACAAGCUUUCACUUUCAACAGGAAUACCUUUUCCUUGGGAUUCGGGAAGACCACAGUUAGAAUUAGACAUCUACAAAACGGGAGAAAAAUUAAAUUCAAGUUAGUUGAUUGAUUGAGUCCUUAAUAAAUCACCCAAAUGAGAUAUUAAGGCUAGGACCCAACACAAUACUCUACAACCUAGAAAAGGGAUGUCGUAAUCUAGUUGCAGAAUAUUUGAAGGUAAGUGAAUGACGAUUCACUAAUUUCCACCACGAAAAAUGAAAAAGAAAUUUAAGUUUUAAAUCUAUUGAAAAUUCCUAGAUCUUUUGAGAUUCAUUGAACUUUUCAAUGGCAUGUUUAAAUCUCGAUAUGCCCCUCGAUUUGUGACUGGGAUGCCGAGGAUCACAAAACAGGGUGUGAAUAACCAUGCAAACUUACAUGGUGCCCCCAAUGUUACAGUCACCUAUUCGAUGUGUCGGUUAACCACACACGCUCCACCGAACUAUGACAAACAUUGAGUCACCCUUUGCUACCUUUGCUUAGAACCAUUUAGUGUGUCGGUUAACCACACACGCUCCACUAACGUCUUCGCAAGGGCACAAAGUGUAAUUUCAUGGAAUUGCAUCAAUUCACUUUUGCCUAAAGUAACUAAGAUUGGGAAUUUUGUAAAAACAUUUAGUUACUUUAUACUUCAUUAUACUUUUAAUGGAAAGGGUUUGCCCUAUCCUACCCGUUCGGCUAACGACCCUCCACCAAUCAAGGAAGCGGUGGGUGAGAGUGGACACCCAUUAAACGACCAUUUUAUAGGCCAUAACCUUAUACCCCCCUUAUAGAUCGGCUUCGUGAAUGAGGCCUACUAACGGUAAGACUAGCAUUUUAGUUAUACAUAUAUAAUAUUAGACUUUUAAUGUUAUACAUAGUAUAAGGGUGUAUUUUACACUUUUAAAAUACUAGGUGGUUUAAAUUAAACUUUUAAUUAACCAAAAUCAUUAUGGAUUUAUUAACUCUCUUUUAAUUAUACACUUAAUUAAUUUAAUAAAACCAUAAGGGUGUAAUUUGAACUUUUCAAAAUUAGGGUUUUAGAAUUUAGACUUUUUCAAAAUUAAACCUUUUAAUCAAACAAUUUAAAUUCCAAAACUUGAGGGCAAGUUUUGAAACUUUUCAAAACAUAAGCAAGAACAUUCUAGAUCAAAUUACAAAUAAUAAUAAUUAACCAAUUAAUUAGUAAUUAUCUAAAUAUGACCUAAUUCAAUUUCUUGCAAGAUAAUCUAUCAAAUAAUUCAAAUAAAUCAAGUUUAUCACAUAAGGAAAUGAUUAUCUAAUUAAUUUGACAAUUAUCUUUUAUUUUGGUAAGGAUAUCUUUUAAAUUAAACAAUUAAUUUAAUCUAAUCCCUUAAAUCCCCUAGAUUUCGAAAUUAUGGGAUGGGAUAAAUCAAAAUCUUUAAUUACCAAAUUUAAACAUUUAAAGGAUAAUUACAAGAUAUGGCAUUAUCCAAAUCCCUAAAAUUUAGGAUCUAACCUUGGGAAGGAGGCAAUUUCGAAAUCCAAGGGUUGGAUAACCCUAGAUUUCAAAAUCUUGGAGGCUAAGGAAAGGGUUUAAAACCCUAUCAAAAAAUCGCCAACUAGGGUUUUGCAACCCUAAUUGCGAAAAUUACCAAGCCCUAGGGUUUACUAGCAAUAAACCCUAAUUUGUCAAGUUCAUACAUUAGAAUAAUGCUAAUUGAAAACAAAAACCAAUGGCUCUGAUACCACUGAUGGGUUUUAUACAAACAAUCCUAUGUGUGCAUGCAACCCUAGAGUUGGAUCUAUGUUAUCACUAUUAGUUAUACAACAUUAUGAACACUUGAAGAACCCUAAAAGGCUUCUAGGAAUUUCGAAAUCCACAAGGAAAGAUGAAAUACAUACCUCUUGUUGUUAUAUUGUAAUAACAACUUAAAUCUUGAAUUUUCUUGUCUUUGAAAGCAAGUACCACAAGUGUAGUACCUCUAAUGGCUCACAAACACCAAGAGCAAAUGGAGAGGUAAUAGAGAGAGGGAAGAGGUGUG